CGAACGCUGGCGGCAGGCCUAAUACAUGCAAGUCGAACGGCUCUUCGGAGCAGUGGCGGACGGGUGAGUAACGCGUGGGAAUGUGCCCUUUGGUACGGAACAACACAGGGAAACUUGUGCUAAUACCGUAUGUGCCCUUCGGGGGAAAGAUUUAUUGCCAUUGGAGCAGCCCGCGUUGGAUUAGGUAGUUGGUGGGGUAAAGGCCUACCAAGCCUACGAUCCAUAGCUGGUCUGAGAGGAUGAUCAGCCACACUGGGACUGAGACACGGCCCAGACUCCUACGGGAGGCAGCAGUGGGGAAUCUUGCGCAAUGGUCGAAAGACUGACGCAGCCAUGCCGCGUGAAUGAUGAAGGUCUUAGGAUUGCAAAAUUCUUUUACCGGUGACGAUAAUGACGGUAACCGGAGAAAAAGCCCCGGCUAACUUCGUGCCAGCAGCCGCCGUAAGAC
rnacentral:rRNA from 1 species